UCCUUUUAGGACAAAGGGAGAAUCGCUGAUACCGUCGUGCCAAGAAAAGCCUCUAAGCAUAUCCAUAGUCGUCCGUACCGCAAACCGACACAGGUAGAUGAGAUGAGUAUUCUAAGGCGCGUGAAAGAACUCUGGUUAAGGAACUCUGCAAACUAGCACCGUAAGUUCGCGAUAAGGUGUGCCGCAGCAAUGCGGUCUCAGCAAAGAGUCCCUCCCGACUGUUUACCAAAAACACAGCACUUUGCCAACUCGUAAGAGGAAGUAUAAGGUGUGACGCCUGCCCGGUGCUCGAAGGUUAAGAGGAUGCGUCAGUCGCAAGAUGAAGCGUUGAAUUGAAGCCCGAGUAAACGGCGGCCGUAACUAUAACGGUCCUAAGGUAGCGAAAUUCCUUGUCGGUUAAAUACCGACCUGCAUGAAUGGCGUAACGAGAUGGGAGCUGUCUCAACCAGAGAUUCAGUGAAAUUGUAGUGGAGGUGAAAAUUCCUCCUACCCGCGGCAAGACGGAGAGACCCCGUGGACCUUUACUACAACUUAGUACUGCUAAUGGGAAUAUCAUGCGCAGGAUAGGUGGGAGGCUUUGAAGUAAGGGCUUUGGU
rnacentral:rRNA from 1 species